GUGGGGAAUCUUGCGCAAUGGGCGAAAGCCUGACGCAGCGACGCCGCGUGAGGGAAGAAGGCCUUCGGGUUGUAAACCUCUUUCAGGAGGGACGAAGCCACUCGGGUUAAUAGCCCAGAGGGUGACGGUACCUCCAGAAGAAGCCCCGGCUAACUACGUGCCAGCAGCCGCGGUAAUACGUAGGGGGCAAGCGUUGUCCGGAUUUAUUGGGCGUAAAGAGCGUGUAGGCGGCUUCACAAGUCCGCUGUGAAAACUCGAGGCUCAACCUCGAGCUGUCGGUGGAAACUGUGUGGCUAGAGUCCGGAAGAGGAGAGUGGAAUUCCCGGUGUAGCGGUGAAAUGCGCAGAUAUCGGGAAGAACACCCGUGGCGAAGGCGGCUCUCUGGGACGGUACUGACGCUGAGACGCGAAAGCGUGGGGAGCGAACAGGAUUAGAUACCCCUGUAGUCC
rnacentral:rRNA from 1 species